rnacentral:rRNA from 1 species
GACGAAGGGGGCUAGCGUUGUUCGGAAUUACUGGGCGUAAAGCGCGUGUAGGCGGUUGCCCAAGUGGGGUGUGAAAGCCUUGAGCUUAACUCAAGAAAUGCACUCGGUACUGGGUGACUAGAGGACCGGAGAGGAUAGUGGAAUUCCCAGUGUAGUGGUGAAAUACGUAGAGAUUGGGAAGAACACCAGUGGCGAAGGCGGCUAUCUGGACGGUUUCUGACGCUAAGACGCGAAAGCGUGGGGAGCAAACAGG